AGUUAGAACUUUUUAACACUUUUAUUCUUGGUAUACUCUUGUCCAGGGGGCAAGAUUCAGCCAGCGUGGUGGGCAGCACCUUGUUGGUUGUCUCCGGGAAGAACAAAACCAAUCCCGAGCAGGUGAAGCCGAAUAGGGCGAAUAGUAGGUGAGGCGCAAAUUUGUAGUAGGGGAUCUGUACGGGGAAUCCAUUGUAACUUGUCGGCUAUUAACUUUUAAGCUAAGGUUUAAUUACUAGUAGAGUGGUCUGGGGGGACAGCAUGGAGCCAAAGCGACCCAUACUUGAGCAGGAGGAGAGCAUGCUGUUCCUGCAGUUGGUGGGAAAGAUCUCGGAGGUGAAGAAGUACAGGAUCAUAAAGCAAGGAAGUAUAGGAUUGAAGAGGUCACAGGGUACACUAAUCCAGCAAACAACAUUUUAGUCUCAGUUAACCACGAAUUAGGUCCCAUGCUUACCUUCAUCCGUGGCAGCCACUGCAAGGAGGAGGACUGCACAAGUGAACUGACAGGAGCUGAGCGACCGUCGCCGUCCUAUCCAGUUCAUGAGUGUGGUGGCCAUCAGGAUACCAGGCAGCUGCAUAAGACCAGUCACGCUAAAGUUUUCGAACUUGCUCCCACUCAACUGGGCAGAAUGCAGGCUCAGACCGAGGGCGAUCAGGGUGUGCGUGAACCACAUGAAGCAGAACAGGAAAGAUCUGACGGAAACUUAAAAUGCUUUAUUCUCACGGAUUGGCUAGAUAACCCACAAACUGUCCAAUGUUGUUGACGGUUCCCACCAUUGACAGCUUCCACUGGUCAAAGCAGAAAAUGUUAAACUGUGGUAAUAUAAAUUAGAUCGGCGUUGCUGGAAGACACCUUGUAUCAUACCUCAGCUGCUAUUGUCUUUUCGCCGUCCGUCAUCUUAUAGCCAGCAUCGCAGGGGACCCUCUGACCAACAUCAAAGCUGCUGACAUUGCACGAAGGUUGACCCACGAGGUUGGAUCGCACGGCGUACUGCUCACAUUGAGCCCAGUUGCCGUGACGUUGUGGAGUGGUGAAAUUUAGGAAUGGUUCUUCAUACCUGGAGUCUAACCCAUCGCACAUUGUGAUGUUGCACCUAUGAAGAAUUUCCGGCGUAAAAGUACAGCACCAUAACCAUUUCACUGACCCACCUGUGGGGCACAUCGCUGGCGGUGAAGACGUAGGAAAUGGAGUAAAAGGCGUUGCAGAUGAUGGGCAGGCAAAGCAGCAAGUAGUUGAAGACUUGAAAAUGUCCGAACUGGCCAAUCUCAACGAUGAUCGCGUCCAGCUGGUUCUCCUCUGACGUCUUCGGUAUGUCUAUGUCACCCGAUCCGGAUUUAGGCUCCCCCGAAACCAACUUCGAUUGGUCCAGCUUUAACAUGCUGCUGUCGAUAUCGCCAAUUGCAGCCAAUCCUGCUUAGAAUGGCACUCGCGCGAUGUCUAGCUCCCUU
ensembl:ncRNA lncRNA:CR45803 long non-coding RNA:CR45803